AACGUGACCUGUGCAGCUGGUUCGCCCUGUCCGCCAGACAGACGCGUCGUAAGAGGGAACCCGGUGGGAAUCCGGGACUGCCCCGCAGCGGUGAGUGGGAACGAACGCCGUCAUACGCACUGGACCCGGCCGGGUCUGGGAAGCGACGGCCAGUAGGAGUCUGCUUCGGCAGGCGCGUCCACGAGUCCGAAGACCUGCCCGUUGCCCGCACGUGAC
rnacentral:ncRNA from 1 species